rnacentral:rRNA from 1 species
UACGUAGGGGGCUAGCGUUGUCCGGAAUCAUUGGGCGUAAAGCGCGUGUAGGCGGCCCGGUAAGUCCGCUGUGAAAGUCGGGGGCUCAACCCUCGGAUGCCGGUGGAUACUGUCGGGCUUGAGUACGGAAGAGGCGAGUGGAAUUCCUGGUGUAGCGGUGAAAUGCGCAGAUAUCAGGAGGAACACCUAUUGCGAAGGCAGCUCGCUGGGACGUGACUGACGCUGAGACGCGAAAGCGUGGGGAGCGAACAGG